rnacentral:rRNA from 1 species
GAUGAACGCUGGCGGCGUGCCUAAUACAUGCAAGUCGAGCGAACAGACGAGGAGCUUGCUCCUCUGACGUUAGCGGCGGACGGGUGAGUAACACGUGGAUAACCUACCUAUAAGACUGGGAUAACUUCGGGAAACCGGAGCUAAUACCGGAUAAUAUAUUGAACCGCAUGGUUCAAUAGUGAAAGACGGUUUUGCUGUCACUUAUAGAUGGAUCCGCGCCGCAUUAGCUAGAUGGUAAGGUAACGGCUUACCAAGGCAACGAUGCGUAGCCGACCUGAGAGGGUGAGCGGCCACACUGGAAAUGAGACACGGUCCAGACUCCUACGGGAGGCAGCAGUAGGGAAUCUUCCGCAAGGGGCGAAAGCCUGACGGAGCAACGCCGCGUGAGUGAUGAAGGUCUUCGGAUCGUAAAACUCUGUUAUUAGGGAAGAACAAAUGUGUAAGUAACUAUGCACGUCUGGACGGUACCUAAUCAGAAAGCCACGGCGAACUACGG